rnacentral:tRNA from 1 species
GGGGGAUUAGCUCAGCUGGUAGAGCGCCUGCAUGGCAUGCAGGAGGUCAGGGGUUCAAGUCCCCUAUCCUCCA